rnacentral:rRNA from 1 species
UACGAAGGGGGCUAGCGUUGCUCGGAAUCACUGGGCGUAAAGCGCACGUAGGCGGAUUGUUAAGUCAGGGGUGAAAUCCUGGAGCUCAACUCCAGAACUGCCUUUGAUACUGGCGAUCUCGAGUCCGGGAGAGGUGAGUGGAACUGCGAGUGUAGAGGUGAAAUUCGUAGAUAUUCGCAAGAACACCAGUGGCGAAGGCGGCUCACUGGCCCGGUACUGACGCUGAGGAGCGAAAGCUAGGGGAGCAAACGGG